UCUGUCUCAAUUUAUGUGAUUCACUUUCCUUUUUGGUCCGUCCCAAAAAGAAUGACACAUUUCCUUAUUUGGUAAAUAUUUAAUGACAUUAUCCCUAUUUUACCCUUCUUGAAUCUCAUUAUUUCAAUAGUUGCACUCUUUUAAUUUAAAGAAAAAGUUAUUGAAAUGCAGUAAAGUACAACUAUUUUUCUCUUUUUACUGAUAGUCAACAGUACUUUAACACUUUUAUCAAUACUUUG
rnacentral:lncRNA from 1 species